CCUACGGGCGGCAGCAGUGAGGAAUAUUGGUCAAUGGACGAGAGUCUGAACCAGCCAAGUAGCGUGAAGGAUGACUGCCCUAUGGGUUGUAAACUUCUUUUAUAUGGGAAUAAAAUGUUCCACGUGUGCCUUUUUGUAUGUACUUUAUGAAUAAGGAUCGGCUAACUCCGUGCCAGCAGCCGCGGUAAUACGGAGGAUCCGAGCGUUAUCCGGAUUUAUUGGGUUUAAAGGGAGCGUAGAUGGGUUGUUAAGUCAGUUGUGAAAGUUUGCGGCUUAACCGUAAAAUUGCAAUUGAUACUGGCAGUCUUGAGGACAGUUGAGGUAGGCGGAAUUCGUGGUGUAGCGGUGAAAUGCUUAGAUAUCACGAAGAACUCCGAUUGCGAAGGCAGCUUACUAAACUGCCACUGACAUUGAUGCUCGAAAGUGUGGGUAUCAAACAGGAUUAGAUACCCGAGUAGUC
rnacentral:rRNA from 1 species